rnacentral:rRNA from 1 species
AGAGUUUGAUCCUGGCUCAGAUUGAACGCUGGCGGCAUGCUUUACACAUGCAAGUCGAACGGCAGCGCGGGGCAACCUGGCGGCGAGUGGCGAACGGGUGAGUAAUAUAUCGGAACGUACCCAAGAGUGGGGGAUAACGUAGCGAAAGUUACGCUAAUACCGCAUACGAUCUAAGGAUGAAAGCAGGGGAUCUUCGGACCUUGUGCUCCUGGAGCGGCCGAUAUCUGAUUAGCUAGUUGGUGAGGUAAAGGCUCACCAAGGCCACGAUCAGUAGCUGGUCUGAGGACGACCAGCCACACUGGAACUGAGACACGGUCCAGACUCCUACGGGAGGCAGCAGUGGGGAAUUUUGGACAAUGGGCGAAAGCCUGAUCCAGCAAUGCCGCGUGAGUGAAGAAGGCCUUCGGGUUGUAAAGCUCUUUUGUCAGGGAAGAAACGGUUUGGGCUAAUACCCUGAGCUAAUGACGGUACCUGAAGAAUAAGCACCGGCUAACUACGUGCCAGCAGCCGCGGUAAUACGUAGGGUGCAAGCGUUAAUCGGAAUUACUGGGCGUAAAGCGUGCGCAGGCGGUUUUGUAAGUCUGACGUGAAAUCCCCGGGCUCAACCUGGGAAUUGCGUUGGAGACUGCAAGGCUAGAAUCUGGCAGAGGGGGGUAGAAUUCCACGUGUAGCAGUGAAAUGCGUAGAGAUGUGGAGGAACACCGAUGGCGAAGGCAGCCCCCUGGGUCAAGAUUGACGCUCAUGCACGAAAGCGUGGGGAGCAAACAGGAUUAGAUACCCUGGUAGUCCACGCCCUAAACGAUGUCUACUAGUUGUCGGGUUUUAAUUAACUUGGUAACGCAGCUAACGCGUGAAGUAGACCGCCUGGGGAGUACGGUCGCAAGAUUAAAACUCAAAGGAAUUGACGGGGACCCGCACAAGCGGUGGAUGAUGUGGAUUAAUUCGAUGCAACGCGAAAAACCUUACCUACCCUUGACAUGUCAGGAAGUCUUGAGAGAUCAGGAUGUGCCCGAAAGGGAGCCUGAACACAGGUGCUGCAUGGCUGUCGUCAGCUCGUGUCGUGAGAUGUUGGGUUAAGUCCCGCAACGAGCGCAACCCUUGUCAUUAGUUGCUACAUUCAGUUGAGCACUCUAAUGAGACUGCCGGUGACAAACCGGAGGAAGGUGGGGAUGACGUCAAGUCCUCAUGGCCCUUAUGGGUAGGGCUUCACACGUCAUACAAUGGUACAUACAGAGGGCCGCCAACCCGCGAGGGGGAGCUAAUCCCAGAAAGUGUAUCGUAGUCCGGAUCGCAGUCUGCAACUCGACUGCGUGAAGUUGGAAUCGCUAGUAAUCGCGGAUCAGCAUGUCGCGGUGAAUACGUUCCCGGGUCUUGUACACACCGCCCGUCACACCAUGGGAGCGGGUUUUACAGAAGUAGGUAGCUUAACCGUAAGGAGGGCGCUUACCACGGUAGGAUUCGUGACUGGGGUGAAGUCGUAACAAGGUAACC